rnacentral:rRNA from 1 species
CUGGGGUGAAGUCGUAACAAGGUAGCCGUAUCGGAAGGUGCAGCUGGAUCACCUCCUUUCUAAGGAGAAUU